CGCCUAAGCAUGUAGAGUCAUGGUUCUAUCUAUUUUAGGACAGGGGUUCGAUCCCCCUCAUCUCCACCA
rnacentral:tmRNA from 1 species